GUCCACGCUGUAAACGAUGUCUGCUAGCCGUUGGGAUCCUUGAGGUCUCGGUGGCGCAGCUAACGCUAUAAGCAGACCGCCUGGGGAGUACGGCCGCAAGGUUAAAACUCAAAUGAAUUGACGGGGGCCCCGCACAAGCGGUGGAGCAUGUGGUUUAAUUCGAUGCAACGCGAAGAACCUUACCACCCCUUGACAUCCAGAGAACUGCCCAGAGAUGGGCGGGUGCCUUCGGGAGCUCUGAUACAGGUGCUGCAUGGCUGUCGU
rnacentral:rRNA from 1 species